GCGCCAACGAGGCAUUCGAAACUCACCACGGGAUUGCCGUCGGUCCAGCGGAAGUCCCUCUCGAACAUCCUGUCGUUGAGGCCGAUCCACUGGUAGUCGCCGGCCAGACCUGCGCACACCGCGCCAGUUCAAGUCUUGAGCUACACUCCGACGGAGCGGCGAACGCGCGUCCCGAUGUUUUUGCGACUCACGGUUGACGAAGAUUUGCUCUUCCGGCGACAGGACGCUGGCCAAGUGAGCGCCGUAGAGGCGACACUCGCGCUCGGCGGCGUCCCAAGUGCGGCGCCGGCGGAAGGCCUUGUAGCAGUGAGACUGGAACUUGAGCCAGCCGGAGCCGCACGACGCCGUGUCUGCGGGGGCGGGGCCGGAAGUGAGCAGGAAGUCCGCGGAAACGCGCGAGCGCUCUCGACGCCUCCCUAGCGACCGCAUCCUCAUCAGCGGCCGUUUUGCGUUCACAUCCGCUUGAAUCGGGGCAUCGGCACCGCUCCCCGGCGUAGCUGGGCAGGCACAGGCAGGAGAAGCCGCUGGCGGCGUCCAGGCAGGUGGCGCCAUUGAGACACGGGUUGGAAUCGCACUCGUCCACGUCUGCCGCACAAAAAGCGCAUUAUCAUCAAUAUGAUUAUUAUUAUUGCUAUCCCCGUAGCCUUUCUCCUACUCUGGGGGCACGCGCGUCAUCCCUGCACCUGACGACGAGGCUCACCUGUUUGACAGCGCCCCCCGGUGUAUCCUGGUGCACAUGCGCACACCUUCUCUGAGCCCCUCUGGUAGCAGGAGCCGCCAUUUUGACACACAUCCACGGAGCACGGCGGUAUAUCUGCGCUCAUGUGACAUCAUCACGACAUGACAUAAUCCCAACGUGACAUCAACACAACGUGACAUCGUCACAACAUGACAUCAUCAUUCGUACCGAUGCCGCCUUUGGCACUGGUGGCUUAGCUUUAACGUGUUAGCUUGCCUUAAAAUAAUGUGCGUAUGUGGGGAAGAAAAGUGGACAUGACAAACAUGCUUUCAUUGCGAGGGAGGCACUAAAAUCGAGUUGUGCAUCUGGAGAUUUGCAACCUUUACUGCAGACGUGCGUUUCCCUGACGUACCCGUGACAUUGAUGAAGCCGACGUCCAGCGGGUCAGGCUGCUCUACGGUCUCCUCGGGCCCGGGGGGCCGCCGCUCCGCCGGCCGGGGGGCCAUCUCGCGGUCGUAGGCAAGGAAGUCCUCCCGCGGGGUCGGCACGUCGGCCCGGGCGGGGGUCGGCGCCCGCCGGGGGACGACACGGGCGUCGACGUCUCGCGAGGGCCGAGCGGUAGCGGAAACCUUUUGUUGGCCCGUAAACGGCCAGGUCGUCGUCUCUUGGUGAAGGUUGGCGGGGUGCGGCCGAGGGUUAAAUGGAGGCUGUUUGGCGCCGACCGUGACGGCAGCUAGGGGGCGGGCGGAUGGUUCUUCCGCCACGUGGUCUCCAGGGUCCGGGGGUGUUGGUAACAUUUCUUCAGGAAUGGGACCGCCCCGCUCUCCUGAAGCCUCCCAGUCUCCUGCCACCUGCUCCGCACCGGACCCCACCUCUUUGUCGCCGCCCACAGGUGCGGACGGCGCCUCCUCCAUCUCGCCGUCGUCUUCGCCGGAAGUAGACCCCUCUACGUCCUCCGCGUGGACCCCGGUCUCACGCUUCGCAGUUUCCGGGGCGGACGAGGGACCCUCGGGGCCUCCGAGUUCCGCCUCGUCGCCGGCGAGGGCGUCGUCCGUGCUGGCCUCCGAGGGCGAGGCGGUGGGGGUGGCGCUCCUUAUCGGCGACGCUGUAUUCGGGAAAUAAGAAAGGUGGUCUAGAUGGCGGGUGUCGGUCACGGGAUCCGCGGGGGGCUCCUCCGCUGGGACUUCCAGGGCGACGUAGUCAAACGGCGUCACGCUCGCCUCUUCCUCGGCCACCCGAACGGGGGCGGCGGUCUCAAACUGAUCCCCUCGCGCCUCCUCGGGCGGCCCUGCGUCUAACGUCACCUGAUGGGAUGAGACGCAGGUGACUCGUUUUAUAUUUUCUAGGGUCGAUGUGACGCCAUCUCUUGGUAUUUAUAAGUAAUUAUAACGAGUUUAUGGGGGCUUCAAUCCCUCACGGAUUUUUGAAAUUCGCAGCAGGGCUUGUCCCUAGUGUAUUCUGUAUUUAAGUCAGCCUUGCCGAUUAAUUAAUUUGACCAACUAAUUCGAAUUUGUUUGUCAGGACAACUUUUUAGCUUAAAGCAGUCAUGUGCACUGCUUACACUAAUAACAUGGCUGCGAACGAAGAGGAGCUAGUCAGUGUUGACAAUUUCCAACCUCUCUAGCGACUACUUUCUUUCUUAUCUACUUUUCUUUUGUUUUUUUAAUAAAUCCAGCUCGCAAAAAAAGUCAACGUGAGCAAAAUACAUCUCACAUUGGUUUGAGUCGGACAAGAAAGGAAGAAGAUGCACAAGAAUUCUGUCAUUGUCAUUUGCAACAAAUGGAACUUUUUAGAUGUCAUUGUCCAAACGUAGAAGGGGCAUUCCUACUUUGUGUCUCCCGCUGACAAAGCUGACGGUCGGCAGAGGCUCGUCGGCGGCAUCGGCGUCUCCGUCGCCGUGGACGAGCUCGGCGAUCGACUGCGAGAGGUCGGAGAUUUGCGGCAAGCCGACGGCGCCGUCCGCAGGCGAAUUGAGGAGCUGCAGGAUGCGAUCGACUGAAAGGAAAGCAGAAAACAGGGCAACCCAGUGGUCAAGGGUGCUCACUGGACACCGGAGGCCAUAGUUGACUACGAUGAAGUGGAACGGCGGCUUGGCCGCGGAUCCGCCCUCGCCGGGCAGAGCCAACAAUCGGUUGACGUUAAAGCUGACGGGCGGAGCUUCCUCUUUGAAGCCCGACGCCGUUUUAUGCGCGACGCUCCAGUCGGGCAAAAGCGGCGCCAGCGACGACGCGCUAGGAGCGCCGUCGCCGCUGCCCGACCCCCCUCGAGCGGCAGGGAGGCGCGACGACGUGGCAGGAAAGAGCGACUCCAGGCGUGUGGGCCCGCGCUCCGUGAUGACAUCGUCGUCGUGCGACUCCGAAUGAGUGAGCGGUCUUGUUCGGAGCUGAGAUGUCACUGGGUGGGAUGUCGGUGAAUCGCGCUGGGCACUUGUGCCCCUGGGUUCUGGUGCGACCCGGACGCUGGUGGGACUUGUCGCUCCUGGGAGCUUGGCUGCAGGAAAGGAAGAAAGAAACAGAACUUACAGAAGACAGUGCUCCCGCACAAAUCUGCAAUUCCAUUUAUUUGCAUUUUACUUUUAACCAAUACUUAUUUGCUGACAAAAAUUGGUUUUUUGAUUGUUUUGUCUCAUGUUCCAAAUAAACAUUCAAUCACAAAAGACAAAUUGGAGAAAGGUGCUUCGAAGCUGUGAAGUUGGCCAGAACCAGAGGCAGGCCCUCCAAUGAACUCAAUCGACGUCAAAUGGAGUGUUUAUGUUCCCGCUGCGUUAGCUCACGUUCACCUUAACGCCGAUAGCGAAGGAUAACAAAGAUGGCCUCCAGGGGGCUGAAGGAAUCACGUCAUCACGAGUCCCGCGAGAGUUUGUGGUGACUAUCGUUGGCCUGUACGCGCGACUCUCAUAUGGAAUUGACGGGAAAAAGAAAGGAUUAGCUUUGCUAUCUGAGUAACGCUAACGUCACAACGCCGCCGCUCGCCGUCGGCCAUAAAAGGACAACCAUUUAUUCCAUAUCCACGAUAUCCAGCUUAACAUCCGUGUACUAGUACUCUUUGCUGUCACUCGUAAGAAAAUUCGGCACAGAAGUACGACGACU